rnacentral:lncRNA from 1 species
AUGGCCCGCUCGGCCGCCGCGCUCGCCGGGAAGAGGGGCCGCGCCGCCCGAGGGCGGCCGCCGCGGGACUGCGGCCCGGGGCCUCGGCGCGGCGGCGGCGGCGCUCCCGCGUCCGGACGCGUCCGCACAAAGCAGGCCGGCGCUGCGGCCCGUGCGCGGGCUGGCGGCGAGGCCCGCGGCCUGGCUUCUCCUCAGGCGCCGCCGGGGGAACGCGAGCGGCGGCGGCGGCGGCGGCGGCGCUUCCCGGGCCCGCUUCCUCUCGGCCCGCGACUCCCCAUCCACCGCCCGCCCAGGCCGCCCGAGAAGCUUCCGCGCCGCGCGCCCCCGGAAGAGAGGCUGCAGGAGAGCAGCCCAGCACGCCUCCCUCCGUCCCGGGCCGUAAGAUGGCCGCGCCGGGGCGGCAGGUCUCCGCGCGUCCGGCAGCCCGGGCCCUCCGCGCCCUCUGCAGCCGCCGCGGCCGUCCGCGCACCCCGCCCGCGCGAGCGCCUCAGCGCAGGCCUCUGCGGCUGUCCAUGUGGCCGGGGUGGGUCUCCUCCGCCCGCGCCUCGCGUCNNNNNNNNNNNNNNNNNNNNNNNCGGGCGCCGGAGCCGCCGCCGCGGCCCGCCCCCGCCCCCAGCGCGCUCCCCUCGGAGCCCGGGCCCGGCCGCCGGCCGCCGAAGCCCGCCGCGGGGUGCCACCCGCGCUCGCGGGGCGCCGGCUCGGCCUGGCCGUGCGGCGGGCCUGGCGCGCCCGGGCGCCAUGGGCCGGGGCGCCAUGGGCCGGGGCCCCGCGGCCGAGCGCGUCCAGUCCUCCUGGAGGCCGCCUCGGCGUGCGGAGAGGGCCGCGGGCGAGCGCAGGUGGACGGGGUGGCGCGGUCACACGCUAGGAGUGACCGUGGGCUUCACUCAUUUUCAAAGAAGCGUUCCCAGUGACGGGCCGCGGAAGAUUCCGCAGGAGCCCUCGGAGGAGUGGGAAAGACCCCGUGUCCUCGGCGUGCCUGCGGCUUCGGAACCAGGCCCUGCCCCGCAAGUCGGGCCCUGGAGCUGCAGGCGGCUCUGUCCUGUCCGCUUUUCUUGCCCUUUCUUUUUCCCUGAAUUGUUUCAAAUUACAAAAAUGAGACAUGUUCACUAA